UCCUUGGUGGCUCAGACAGUAAAGCAUCUGCCUACAAUGCAGGAGACCUGGGUUCAAUCCCUGGGUCAGGAA
rnacentral:tRNA from 1 species